rnacentral:sRNA from 1 species
UAAUUUCUCAUUAAAAAACUACCUAAUAUAAAAAUAAAUAUAAAUAAAAAGUAAAAAAUAGAGUGAAGAAAGUCUCUCAAGUGAGAAACUAUGAGAAACCUACGAAGACACUUGUUUAUUCUCCAUUGAUCAAAUUUUAUUUUAU